rnacentral:rRNA from 1 species
GACGAACGCUGGCGGCGUGCCUAACACAUGCAAGUCGAACGGGGUCCAUGGGAGCUUGCUCCCGGAAGACCUAGUGGCGAACGGGUGAGUAACACGUGAGGAACCUGCCUCGGAGUGGGG